rnacentral:rRNA from 1 species
GAUGAACGCUAGCGGGGGGCCUAACACAUGCAAGCCGAGCGGUAUUGUUUCUUCGGAAAUGAGAGAGCGGCGUACGGGUGCGGAACACGUGUGCAACCUGCCUUUAUCUGGGGGAUAGCCUUUCGAAAGGAAGAUUAAUACUCCAUAAUAUAUUGAACGGCAUCGUUUAAUAUUGAAAGCUCCGGCGGAUAGAGAUGGGCACGCGCAAGAUUAGCUAGUUGGUGAGGUAACGGCUCACCAAGGCGAUGAUCUUUAGGGGGCCUGAGAGGGUGAUCCCCCACACUGGUACUGAGACACGGACCAGACUCCUACGGGAGGCAGCAGUGAGGAAUAUUGGUCAAUGGGUGCAAGCCUGAACCAGCCAUCCCGCGUGAAGGACGACUGCCCUAUGGGUUGUAAACUUCUUUUGUAUAGGGAUAAACCUACCCUCGUGAGGGUAGCUGAAGGUACUAUACGAAUAAGCACCGGCUAACUCCAUGCCAGCAGCCGCGGUAAUACGGAGGGUGCAAGCGUUAUCCGGAUUUAUUGGGUUUAAAGGGUCCGUAGGCGGACUUAUAAGUCAGUGGUGAAAGCCUGUCGCUUAACGAUAGAACUGCCAUUGAUACUGUAAGUCUUGAGUAUAUUUGAGGUAGCUGGAAUAAGUAGUGUAGCGGUGAAAUGCAUAGAUAUUACUUAGAACACCAAUUGCGAAGGCAGGUUACUAAGAUAUAACUGACGCUGAGGGACGAAAGCGUGGGGAGCGAACAGGAUUAGAUACCCUGGUAGUCCACGCCGUAAACGAUGCUAACUCGUUUUUGGGCUUUAGGGUUCAGAGACCAAGCGAAAGUGAUAAGUUAGCCACCUGGGGAGUACGCUCGCAAGAGCGAAACUCAAAGGAAUUGACGGGGGCCCGCACAAGCGGUGGAUUAUGUGGUUUAAUUCGAUGAUACGCGAGGAACCUUACCAAGACUUAAAUGGGAAUUGACAGCUUUAGAAAUAGAGCUUUCUUCGGACAAUUUUCAAGGUGCUGCAUGGUUGUCGUCAGCUCGUGCCGUGAGGUGUUAGGUUAAGUCCUGCAACGAGCGCAACCCCUGUCACUAGUUGCCAUCAUUCAGUUGGGGACUCUAGUGAGACUGCCUACGCAAGUAGAGAGGAAGGUGGGGAUGACGUCAAAUCAUCACGGCCCUUACGUCUUGGGCCACACACGUAAUACAAUGGCCGGUACAGAGGGCAGCUACACAGCGAUGUGAUGCAAAUCUCGAAAGCCGGUCUCAGUUCGGAUUGGAGUCUGCAACUCGACUCUAUGAAGCUGGAAUCGCUAGUAAUCGCGCAUCAGCCAUGGCGCGGUGAAUACGUUCCCGGGCCU